rnacentral:rRNA from 1 species
UACGUAGGGGGCAAGCGUUGUCCGGAAUCAUUGGGCGUAAAGCGCGUGUAGGCGGCUCGAUAAGUCUGCUGUGAAAAGUUCAGGGCUCAACCCUGAAAUGCCGGUGGAAACUGUCGGGCUAGAGUCCGGAAGAGGCGAGUGGAAUUCCUGGUGUAGCGGUGAAAUGCGCAGAUAUCAGGAGGAACACCAAUGGCGAAGGCAGCUCGCUGGGACGGUACUGACGCUGAGACGCGAAAGCGUGGGGGAGCAAACAGG